UACGUAGGGACCAAGCGUUGUUCGGAUUUACUGGGCGUAAAGGGCGCGUAGGCGGCAAUUCAAGUCAGCUGUGAAAUCUCCGAGCUUAACUCGGAACGGUCAGCUGAUACUGUUUUGCUAGAGUGCAGAAAGGGCAACCGGAAUUCUUGGUGUAGCGGUGAAAUGCGUAGAUAUCUGGAGGAACACCGGUGGCGAAGGCGGCAUCCUGGACCGGUAUUGACGCUGAGGCGCGAAAGCCAGGGGAGCAAACGGG
rnacentral:rRNA from 1 species